AUUGAACGCUGGCGGCAGGCCUAAUACAUGCAAGUCGAACGGUAACAGGAAGAAGCUUGCUUCUUUGCUGACGAGUGGCGGACGGGUGAGUAAUGUCUGGGAAACUGCCUGAUGGAGGGGGAUAACUACUGGAAACGGUAGCUAAUACCGCAUAACGUCGCAAGACCAAAGAGGGGGACCUUCGGGCCUCUUGCCAUCGGAUGUGCCCAGAUGGGAUUAGCUAGUAGGUGGGGUAACGGCUCACCUAGGCGACGAUCCCUAGCUGGUCUGAGAGGAUGACCAGCCACACUGGAACUGAGACACGGUCCAGACUCCUACGGGAGGCAGCAGUGGGGAAUAUUGCACAAUGGGCGCAAGCCUGAUGCAGCCAUGCCGCGUGUAUGAAGAAGGCCUUCGGGUUGUAAAGUACUUUCAGCGGGGAGGAAGGGAGUAAAGUUAAUACCUUUGCUCAUUGACGUUACCCGCAGAAGAAGCACCGGCUAACCCCGUG
rnacentral:rRNA from 1 species